CUUUCAUAGUAAAAGUUAUUACAUAAGUCUUGUAAGCUUAAAUUUCCUCAUAGGAUGAAGGAU
rnacentral:tRNA from 1 species